rnacentral:rRNA from 1 species
GGAUGAACGCUGGCGGCGUGCCUAAUACAUGCAAGUCGAGCGAACAGACGAGGAGCUUGCUCCUCUGACGUUAGCGGCGGACGGGUGAGUAACACGUGGAUAACCUACCUAUAAGACUGGGAUAACUUCGGGAAACCGGAGCUAAUACCGGAUAAUAUAUUGAACCGCAUGGUUCAAUAGUGAAAGACGGUUUUGCUGUCACUUAUAGAUGGAUCCGCGCCGCAUUAGCUAGUUGGUAAGGUAACGGCUUACCAAGGCAACGAUGCGUAGCCGACCUGAGAGGGUGAUCGGCCACACUGGAACUGAGACACGGUCCAGACUCCUACGGGAGGCAGCAGUAGGGAAUCUUCCGCAAAGGGCGAAAGCCUGACGGAGCAACGCCGCGUGAGUGAUGAAGGUCUUCGGAUCGUAAAACUCUGUUAUUAGGGAAGAACAAAUGUGUAAGUAACUAUGCACGUCUUGACGGUACCUAAUCAGAAAGCCACGGCUAACUACGUG